UACGGAGGAUGCAAGCGUUAUCCGGAAUGAUUGGGCGUAAAGCGUCCGCAGGUGGCUGUGUAAGUCUGCUGUUAAAGAGUCUAGCUCAACUAGAUACAAGCAGUGGAAACUACACGGCUAGAGUACGUUCGGGGCAGAGGGAAUUCCUGGUGUAGCGGUGAAAUGCGUAGAGAUCAGGAAGAACACCGGUGGCGAAGGCGCUCUGCUAGGCCGUAACUGACACUGAGGGACGAAAGCGUGGGGAGCAAACAGG
rnacentral:rRNA from 1 species